rnacentral:rRNA from 1 species
CCUUCGGUUCGGAAUAACUCAGGGAAACUUGAGCUAAUACCGGAUACGCCCUUACGGGGAAAGAUUUAUUGCCGAAGGAACGGCCCGCGUCCGAUUAGCUUGUUGGUGAGGUAAUGGCUCACCAAGGCGACGAUCGGUAGCUGGUCUGAGAGGAUGACCAGCCUCACUGGGACUGAGACACGGCCCAGACUCCUACGGGAGGCAGCAGUGGGGAAUAUUGGACAAUGGGCGCAAGCCUGAUCCAGCCAUGCCGCGUGGGUGAUGAAGGCCCUAGGGUUGUAAAGCCCUUUCGGCGGGGAAGAUAAUGACGGUACCCGCAGAAGAAGCCCCGGCUAACUUCGUGCCAGCAGCCGCGGUAAUACGAAGGGGGCUAGCGUUGCUCGGAAUUACUGGGCGUAAAGCGCACGUAGGCGGCUUGUUAAGUCGGGGGUGAAAUCCUGGAGCUCAACUCCAGAACUGCCUUCGAUACUGGCGAGCUCGAGUUCGGGAGAGGUGAGUGGAACUGCGAGUGUAGAGGUGAAAUUCG